rfam:Nelumbo nucifera unplaced genomic scaffold scaffold00002, whole genome shotgun sequence
CUCCGGACGCAGCGGUUUAUCGACCUCUUCCUGGACUGAUUGUUUAAACGGAUUGCUUCCCAAUUGAAGUCAAAGACAAAACAGGAAUCGGUCGAUAAACCUCUGCAUCCGGU